GAUGAACGCUGGCGGCGUGCCUAAUACAUGCAAGUCGAGCGAACAGACGAGGAGCUUGCUCCUCUGACGUUAGCGGCGGACGGGUGAGUAACACGUGGAUAACCUACCUAUAAGACUGGGAUAACUUCGGGAAACCGGAGCUAAUACCGGAUAAUAUAUUGAACCGCAUGGUUCAAUAGUGAAAGACGGUUUUGCUGUCACUUAUAGAUGGAUCCGCGCCGCAUUAGCUAGUUGGUAAGGUAACGGCUUACCAAGGCGACGAUGCGUAGCCGACCUGAGAGGGUGAUCGGCCACACUGGAACUGGGACACGGUCCAGACUCCUACGGGAGGCAGCAGUAGGGAAUCUUCCGCAAUGGGCGAAAGCCUGACGGGGCAACGCCGCGUGAGUGAUGAAGGUCUUCGGAUCGUAAAACUCUGUUAUUAGGGAAGAACAAAUGUGUAAGUAACUAUGCACGUCUUGACGGUACCUAAUCAGAAAGCCACGGCUAACUACGUG
rnacentral:rRNA from 1 species